GUCCACGCCGUAAACGAUGAAUACUAACUGUUUGCGAUUACAGUAAGCGGUACAGCGAAAGCGUUAAGUAUUCCACCUGGGGAGUACGCCGGCAACGGUGAAACUCAAAGGAAUUGACGGGGGCCCGCACAAGCGGAGGAACAUGUGGUUUAAUUCGAUGAUACGCGAGGAACCUUACCCGGGCUCAAACGCAGGGGGAAUACGUAUGAAAGUACGUAGCUAGCAAUAGCCGCCUGCGAGGUGCUGCAUGGUUGUCGU
rnacentral:rRNA from 1 species